ACUGAAUGAAGCUUCGCGAAAUAUGUAAUUGUCUCGCACACGUUGAAACUAAAACUAGUUGGAAACGAGUGUGAAUGACAAAACAGUGAUCGGCAGAAAGCUUAGCCUUUUCAAGGGCUUAAAUUUUAAAUAUUAGCCUUGACUCGAUUUCAUUAAUUCGACAGUCAUCGGUAUGUUUGCAAUAAUUACGAAGAACAGGAGUGUAUAAGAAAACGAACAUAUGGAGGGAGAGAAGAAAGGAGGGAGUGAAGAGAGAGAAUGGCAAGCGAAUGAACGCACUAUACAUUCAGAAUUUUCCGUCGAAAAUCAACCAAUGUAUAUGUAUUAUACGCAUAAAUCUCUUUUCGGGAACACUCCAAUGUUCUAUACUUGCUCGUUUCUACAGGUCACACGACAGUAACGAGGAAGAAGGGAGGCCAGUAGUCAAGCCGGCUGACUGUGUUUGUUGGGGCCUUUCUCACCCGACGGAGAGGUAAAAGAGAGGAUGGCAACAGAGAGAGCAGCUGCCACUGAGAAAACGGACGGUUACCGAAUGAUUUCAACUACUGCCGGCUUGGCGUUUCUUACUCCUCGUUACCCGCUUUUACAGAUGAUUCUCCUUUCUACAAAGACGCUUCCAUUUAAGUAUUUGUUUCAACAAAAAAUACUCACACAUACCGUGAGCAGAUCUUUGCUCAAUGCCACACGCUUGAAAAAUAAAAUAAGAAUAAAAAGUGUGGUUCGAUUCAAACGAGUUUUCAAUUACGAAAAAGAAUAGUGAAGAGAAUGGAGAGAAAAUGAUUCGGACCGAAAGAUAUAUUUGCUAAUAAUCACCAACUGGUUACCGUCGGUAGCCAUUUUAAUCUCAAUGAUAGCCAAUUUAUAAUUUCAACUCGGAAACUUCCACGCCAACCGGGAAACUCGUCUCGUGUUUCUCAAGCAGGAAUAACCGUUACGAUUCGUUCAAGUCACAUCCCUCGUAAGAAAGACACUGUGUAUGGCUAGCGAAUAUAAUCGCGACGGCCGUCGCCCACGAAACCACCGCUAAACGCUACCAACUAUCGCCUGUUAACUACUCUAGAUGAUACUACGACACCGAGUUUUUCAUCAUUUUGAGUGAAAUACUUGGUGCGCGAUAGGCGGAUGAAAAAUGUGAAACGAUUGAAUUACGUGUCCAAGUAGACAGCGAGGACACAAGUUUCUCGAAACCCGACGGGCAGCCAUCUUGGGUAGGCACGGCCAACUCUCGACUGUUUCGCACAAUUUUUCGCGCCUAAGAACGAUGUUUCAACCAUAACGUCGAACUGUAUAGCUUUCUGAAUAAACGUCUGGCAAAUG